CUAUUAUUACCUAACAAGCAAUGUACCUUUAUAAAUAUUUUUAUGAACGUAUUUUUAAUAGCUUCACAGUGUCACCAAUAAAUCGAUUUAGUAAAGAUCUAAUUUAGUUACUAGUGAGUACUAUCAAACUAUAAUAUUUCUGAUUUAAUUAAUCACUUUUAAUAAAAAUGUUGUGUUCAUCAUCGCGACUAUGUUUGGAAUGAAACAAAAAAUAAUUUAUCGAAUAAUUUAUAUUCAGUAGAAUGCGUUGGUCCACAUUCAUACUUAAACAUGGUAUAAAAAGAAGGCAAGUAAUGAAAUCGGUGGAGAACGAGAAAUAUCAUGAUUGAAAAAAUUAUCAAGUCGCAAUGCUCCUGAUAACUUUGAACAUGUAGCUAUCAACGAAGCUUAAAAUGGGCGUUCCUAAAACGAAACGAUUUCGUGUCAAUUCAAUAAUCUAACAGUCGUACAAAUUAUAUGAUACUAUCCAAUUCUGGGCAAGUUAACGAUCAUUUUUAGUUGAAAAGGUAUAAUCAUGGCUGAUAGCAUGUAUGUGGUUCUUCAGUUUUGUUUUCAAUAAAUAACAUUCACCACUAAAGAUUGAAUUCGUCUUUCUUCAAAAUGAUAACACUGAAAUUGAAUAUUCGUCGACAAUAAUAAAUAAACUAAUUCCUGAAUACUUGCUGCAAUUCACCUUCCGGCUUCCAGUUUCUAUUCAACUAACGACAAGAGUAAAACUCGAUGUCCUUUCAUUAGAAAAGAAUAUAAAAUCAAGACAAAAACAAAUAAUUUUAAGUUUUUAAAUGUUUUGCGCUUCACCAAUAUGUACCAAUGAUAGUUACUGCAUUUGGAAUUUACUACUCUUGGAUAAAUGUCAACCAUCAAUUUACUCCAAUAACAGCUUCAUUCGUGUCUAUUCCUCUUAAAGAUGAAUUUUCCGAAACUCUUUGUAAGCCCUCAGCUAAAUUAAAAUGUUGAUAAAUGAAAAAUACAAGCUCGAAGAAUGUUCAGUAAAUCAUUCAAACUAUUUUGGAAAAUACUGCAUGUUAAUCCUCACUUCCUGGUAAUAUUUCUAUGGAUUCAUUAAAACAGUUAAUGUGCAUAACAAUUGGAAUAUUAAGAAACGCAAGGUUUAACGUAAGUUUAUUAUAGCAGUUCAAAAAUAAUAAAGAUAAACAGGCACUAUUA